rnacentral:sRNA from 1 species
UUAACAUCCCUGUAGCUUGAAAUCUUCUGUCUCCACUAUACAGACACAGCAAGAGCAACAGCAGUGCAAGCUUCCCCGCUCGACCCUACCAAUGAAUCUAAAUCCUGGCUUCGGAUGGAUCACUUCUAGGGGUAAGAACAUAAUUCAGUCUCCACGGCCUGGACUCUUGUACGACU